ACGCUGGCGGCGUGCCUAAUACAUGCAAGUCGAACGGUCUUUCUAUGGAAGCUUGCUUCCGCUGAGAAGAUAGUGGCGAACGGGUGAGUAACACGUGGGUAACCUGCCCAUAAGAGGGGGAUAACAUCCGGAAACGGGUGCUAAUACCGCAUAGUUCCUUGAUCGCAUGAUCGGGAAAGAAAAGACGGCCUUUGUGCUGUCGCUUAUGGAUGGACCCGCGGCGUAUUAGUUAGUUGGUGAGGUAACGGCUCACCAAGACGAUGAUACGUAGCCGACCUGAGAGGGUGAUCGGCCACAUUGGGACUGAGACACGGCCCAAACUCCUACGGGAGGCAGCAGUAGGGAAUCUUCCGCAAUGGACGAAAGUCUGACGGAGCAACGCCGCGUGAGUGAAGAAGGUUUUCGGGAAUCGUAAAACUCUGUUGUCAGAGAAGAACAAGUUGGAGAGUAACUGCUCCAGCCUUGACGGUAUCUGACCAGAAAGCCACGGCUAACUACGUGCCAGCAGCAGC
rnacentral:rRNA from 1 species